rnacentral:miRNA from 1 species
UGCAUGUGUGUACAUGUGCGUGUAUGUGCAUGUGCAUGUGUGUGCACGUGUGUGUGCACGUGUGUGUGCGUGUGUGCACGUGCAUGUGUGUGUGCAUGUGUGUGUGCAUGUGCAU